GCACCCGUAGCUCAGCUGGAUAGAGCACCAGACUACGAAUCUGGGGGGCAGGAGUUCGAAUCUCUUCGGGUGCG
rnacentral:tRNA from 1 species